rnacentral:lncRNA from 1 species
AAGUUUCUGUCAAUUCAGUCACCAUUCUGGAUUCAUCCCAUGGUGUUUCAACCACAUUUGGUUGUUCAUUGACCACAACUAUCUCAGGUUUUUCCGAGGUACUUUGGGCAAUGUUUGGCUGCUGGUCUGUAGGGUCCGGUUUUUCCGAGGUACUUUGGGUAAUGUUUGGCUGCUGGUCUGUAGGGUCCGGUUUUUCCGAGGUACUUUGGGUAAUAUUUGGCUGCUGGUCUGUAGGGUCGGGUUUUUCCGAGACACUUUGGGAAGUGUUUGGCUGCUGGUCCGUAGGGACAGCCCCGUUGGUCACCUUCUCUGCAGCAGAUUCCAUUUGAUCGGAUAUCGAAUGAGCUGAU